rfam:Caloranaerobacter azorensis H53214 contig1, whole genome shotgun sequence.
UCCAUCGUGAGGUGGAAUCUGAAGGAAGCCGGAGGCAAAAUCCCGGUCCGAGGUACACGAAUCACAUUCGAGGCUGUAUAAACCGGGUGAGUUUGCCAAACAAAACGAAGCCCAAAACGGUUCGAAGGUUUAUGCAGUAAAUGUGGCGGAUAUAUGGGAGGAAAGUGGUUACGCU